rnacentral:lncRNA from 1 species
ACAACCUUUUUGUUCCACAUCAGGGAAUUCACAGGGUAUCCAUUAGAAACCAUAUCACAUUUACAAGGCUCCACGGACUUCCUUAAGCCUUGAUGCUCCAACGGGUUAUACAGGCUAAGAGGUGGGGAUGAGUGCAGAUCCGAAGUGGGUGGGUGAGGAUCUCCCAGCCUCUCAGCCCUGGCACGGGGACUUGCUUUUCUCCAGGCUAUCUGGUUCUCUCUGUUUAUUCUCUGCCUGCUUUCCUUGUGUCUCUCGUUGUUUCUCUCUAAAUCUCCAUCUUUCCCUCUCUGUCCCUCUCCCCCUCCCUCCUUUCCUCUCUGUCUUUGUAACUCUCCCUCAAUUUUACUCAUUUUAGUGGUUCACUCUUUGGAUCUAGGACCUUGGUCAGCAUGAGCAUUGCACUCACAGAGAGGGUGACACGUUUCCUGAUGUUCUCUACAGGACACUUGUGAAAACUUGGAAAAUAUUAAUUGCUUAACAGUCCGCUUGCAAGUUGAACAGGCAGAUAAGGAGGAAAAGCCUUUCUUCUUUGACAAGCUUUCCAUGAAACAUAACCCCAGAACACGAGUGCCCAGAUGUAUACAUUCCAGGCAUGAAAAUGAAGGAUAAUUCUCCAAAAAGACUGACUGGCCCUUGGGACAAGAUCCACAGAGACUUCAUCUGAAACGUUCUUCAUCAAUCAAGUAAGCCCACUCAUCUAUUGAUAAUGCUUACUGAGGGGCAAGCCACCCCAUGCACAUAAAGUCUCCUCUUAGCUUUUUAGUGUACCACUUCUUAAUCAUAAAUAAACAUUUAAGGAUCACCAGACAUUUGUAGAAGACCUCAACUAUGAAAAAAGAGAACUUAACAAAUAAACUUUUUUUGGAAGGCUGAGAAGACAUAGAGACAAUAGAGGGAGCAGAAAAAUAAAUAACAAAAACAAACAACCCUAUAGAUAUUAUUGUCAUCUGAAAGUUUUGAGAAAGUAUUGCAUUCAUGAAACAAGAAUAAGAUGCAAUUAAAAAGUAUAAUCGGAGUGAAAAAAUGAAUUAGCCAAGAUAAAAAAUAUUCAAUAGAACACUUGGAAGAUAAGGUUGAGUAACUCUCCUUGAAAAGCCAAAGAAAAAGAUGAGAAUGAAGAGAAAGAAAAUUAGGGGACCAAGCCAAUGUAUCCAACAUCUGAAAUUCCAAGAAGGGAAAGUGGAGAGAAUUAUGGGGUGGAAAUAAUCUAAUAAGUGGUUUAAUUUCCCAGAACUGAAAGACAUGAGUUUCCAGAGAAGGCCCAGCAUCAUGUAUUUAAAACAACAACCAAAAAAACUACCUAAGCAAAUAUUAUGAAAUUUCAGAAUAUCAGAAAUAGGACAGAUUGUAAGUUGACAGAGAAGAAAACCUGUCACAAAGGAUAAGGAAUAAAAAUGGCAUCAUGCCUCUUACUAGCAACACUGAGGCCAGACAACAACAUAACAAUUGAUAUUCUGAGAAAAAAAGCAUGUUCAGUCUACAUCUAUACCAAGACACACUCUUAAUCAAGUAUGAGGGUAAAACAAUGAACUUUCAGAUAAACACAGACUAAGGUAAUAUGCCUCUUAUGCACCCUUUCUCAAGACUAACUGGAGUCAGUGUUUCCCUAAAAUGUUUAAUCAGCUAACAAGGUGCUAUGAUGUGGAUAUUUGACCCUCCAAAUAUCAUGUUGAAAAUUGAUCCCCAUUGGUAGAGGUAGGGCCUGGUGGGAGGUAUGGGUUGUGGAGGUGGAUCCCUCAUGAAUGGCUUGGUGCCAUUCUCGCAGGAAUGAGUGAGUUCUCACUCUUAGUUCUCAUGAAAAUUCGUUGUUGAAAAGAACCUGGCACCUACUCCCCAUUGCUCUUUCUUCCCUUCGCCAUGUGAUGCCUGCUGCCCUUCAUCUUCCACCAUGACUGGAAGCUUCCUGAGGUCCCCACCAGAAGCAGAUGCUGGCACCAUGCUUCUUGUACAGCCUGCAGAACUGUUAACCAAAUAAACCUCUUUUCUUUAUAAAUUACCCAG